UGGGUAUCGUUAAUAGCAUAUUCAUUUUGACGUUUAGCUGCAGAAGAAGCACCGGCUAACUCCGUGCCAGCAGCCGCGGUAAUACGGAGGGUGCGAGCGUUUAAUCGGAAUUACUGGGCGUAAAGCGCAUGCAGGUGGUUUGUUAAGUCAGAUGUGAAAGCCCGGGGCUCAACCUCGGAAUUGCAUUUGAAAACUGGCAAACUAGAGUACUGUAGAGGGGGGUAGAAUUUCAGGUGUAGCGGUGAAAUGCGUAGAGAUCUGAAGGAAUACCGGUGGCGAAGGCGGCCCCCUGGACAGAUACUGACACUCAGAUGCGAAAGACGUGGGGAGCAAACAGGAUUAGAUACCCUGGUAG
rnacentral:rRNA from 1 species